ACUGGAAUGAGAGAGUGAAGGCAACGCACCUGCGGCUCGAAAUAUGAAGGGGGUAGCCCCUUAUAAACCAGGUAGUAUCACGUUUGGUUAGGGGGCCUGUCUAAGGCCCCC
rnacentral:ncRNA from 26 species